UACGUAGGGGGCGAGCGUUGUCCGGAUUUACUGGGCGUAAAGCGUGCGCAGGCGGUUUUGUGAGACUGUCGUGAAAUCCCCGGGCUUAACCUGGGAAUGGCGAUGGUGACUGCAAGGCUAGAGUUUGGCAGAGGGGGGUAGAAUUCCACGUGUAGCAGUGAAAUGCGUAGAGAUGUGGAGGAACACCGAUGGCGAAGGCAGCCCCCUGGGUCAAAACUGACGCUCAUGCACGAAAGCGUGGGGAGCAAACAGG
rnacentral:rRNA from 1 species